UUCCUUUAUCCUCCUAUUUCUCUCCCGAUUCUUCUCUUCCGCCACAGAUCCCUUCUUCUCCCCCUUUCCUUCUUCUUCCUCUUCUCUCUCGUGGACAAAAAGGGGCAACCAAGGAGUCUCGUUUCUUCUCUUCGCCUCUGCCCCGAUUCCACUCCUUUGCCCUUGUCGAUUUUUUUCCCCUCUCCUGGUCUCGGUCAACAGGAGCUCGCCGGGAGACCAAGCAUCAAGUCGUGCCCUAGGCUCCACCCACCUCUCCUUUGUCUUACCUGUGCCCUAAUCUUUGCUCCGCUGCCCAGUCGAGCACCGGCGCCAGGACCUCACGUCGGCACAACCCACUAAUCGACCACCUGAUCUGACCCUGACCACUGUGUCCUAAUUCCCCGCUGCCAUUGCUUCGUCGAAGCAGAAUCAGCGACGGUGUCGCUAGCCACCGCAGAGGAGUUGGCAUCGCAGCCACCUAGGGCUGGCCAUCGCCCUUUUCCCUUCCUCUCUGCCCUAGCCGUCUCCACACGAUCGCCUGACUUCCUUUGUCUCUGCGUGCCAUUGUCCAUCCAUCGCCGGUGUUACCGUGCCCUAGCAGUGAUCCUCAAGGAGGAAGAUCUUGGAUCAGUUCUUGUUGUUUCCCUUAAUCGGAGCUCGGACUCCUUCCUUGCGGAGGAAAUUUAGGUCACGGUUGAGCAACAGAGCUUUGAACUCCAGCAGAUAUUCUUGCUUCCAGCAGCUGCUCACCUCGUGUCCGGAAACGAACAGCCGCUAAUUGUGCAGCAACCUUUCAUCCAGCAACACUUUGUCCAACAACAACCCUUGAGUUCCAGCAGCGGCUGAAUUAAGAUAAGGAUUAGGUGUAUUUGAAUACUUGUUGUAGAUCAUGUUCCGAAUUGGAGGAAUUGGUUAGAUGAUCAUGUGAAUCUAGGUAAGGAACAUGAUUAUGAUACAUGUUGAUUUAGGUAGGAAUUGGUACAUAUAUAAUUGCUUAUGUGUUUGGAUUAGGUGAUUGAUUAUGUAGAUGUGUAAUCAUGUGUAAAUGGAAUUAAGUUUGGGUUCUUGAUCUAAUGGUUGAUUGUGAAUUAGGUUUAUGUUAUUGUGUUAAUUAGGGGUUGUCCCUAAUUUAGUGUAAGAGAUUUUUAUUUAGCUAUUUCUAGUAAUUAGCUAAAUAAAAUGUAUAUGUAUUGGU